rnacentral:lncRNA from 1 species
AGAGCUCCGUCGAACGGCGCAGAGGGAGGAGAGGCGCCGCCCAUCCCCGUCGGCGACGAGCACUGGACCUCCGACCAGGUCACCUCGUUGCUCCUUCGCUCCAACUAGGUGGACGCACCGUGCGUGGACGAGACAUGUUGAAGGCUCUUCCCUACGAGUACCUGGUCGGCAUCGAUGUACGCCGCUCGGACCCGACCAUUCUGGUCGCUUCGCCAUGAUCGUAGAGGCCACCACCAAUGGAGUUACCUUCUAGUUCGGUCUGUAGCAUACGAUGUGCUACGCUUUGUUUUCUGAAACAGGUGGCCAGUUGCAGGAAUAUGAGUAGGUAGAGAACGCAUUAGUGACGAGAGUUCCAAAGAGAUAAGGAUUAAGGAGAGAUGUGAUGUGUGUGGGUCAUUUCAAGAUGUGUGGCGAGCGUAGCAUUCGGCGGACGUACCAGAAAAAAUCGGUCACUUGAACACAAGUUUUCCCCUUUUUAAAAACAUUCGUACCUUCACAAAAUGUUAGGAAUUUUUAAAAAAUGUUCGCUAUUUUAAAAAAAUGUUUGGUAUUUCAAGAGAAUGUUUGGUAUUUACAGAAAAUAUUUGAAAUAUAAAAAUAUUGUACAUUUUUUUAAUAAAGUUUGGGUUUGAAAAUUGUUCUUAAAUUUUCAAAAAUGUUCUUGCUUUUAAAAAAAUGUUCCAAAUAUCAAAGAAUUGUCAUUUCUCAAACAUUAUAAUUUUUUACAUUCAAAAACUAUUCUGGACUUUUAAAAUAUGUUCUGGAUUUUUAAAAAUUGUACAUAAAAUUCGAAAAAUGUUUUUUGCUUUUCUAGAAAAUGUUCUAAAUUUCAAAUAGUUGACAUUUUCAAAAACAUUCAUAACUUGAAAAAAGGGAUUUUUAAAAAAAUUGGUUUUAUAAUAAAAUGUUCCGUAUUUUAAGAAAAUGUUUGGUAUUUUCAAAAAAUGUUUGAAAUAUCAAAAGUUCCCAGUUUUUAAACUAUGUUCGUUUAAAAAAUGUUCUUGCUUUUAAAAAAUGUUCCAAAUUUUAAAAAUUUAUCAUUUUCAGACUUUUUUCAUAAAUUCUGAAAAUAUUCUGAAUUUUGGAAAAUUGAUCUUCAAAUUCAAAAUAUGUUUUUGCUUCAAAUUUGAAAAUAAAAAGGAAAAGGGAAAGAAAAAACGAAAAAGGAAAAAAAGGAAAUAAGCAUAAAAGGAACAAAAAGAAACAGAAAAGAAAAUUAUCUGAUAUAUUUUAGGCAAAAAAAAUAGACCGGCCUAGUCGGGCGACCCUCCCUGUACGUGUGAGCGGCUCCCUGCCGCAGAAUGCGGCAAGUAGGAGAUCCGGUUUUAUGCGAGCUCUAGGGUGGUUUGGACAUGGCUUUGGAUGUUGGGUCCAUAUAGUACUAUAACCUACUCGCUUUGUUGCAAAAUACUUCAUCCGUUCUUAAAUAUAAGUUUUUUAAAGAUUUAACUAAGGGAUUACAUACGAAAUAAAAUAAGUAAAUAUAUACUUUAAAGUAUAUCUAUAUAUAUUUGUAUAUAGUCCACUGAUGAAACCUGUGAAAAGACUUAUAUUUAGGAACACAUGGAGUAUAAGUCUUUUUAAUAUUCUAUUAUGGUCUACAUACAAAGCAAAAUGAGUGCUCUAUAUUUUAAAAUCUUUCUAUAUUCAUCCGUAUGUAGAUUGUAGUGCAAUCUCUUAAAAGACAUAUAUUUAGAAACUGAGGGAGUAAUAAAGAUAGCAGUGUUCACUAAGAAAAUUAUAGAAAAACUAAGGAUGUUUUACCUUAGAAAUUGCCCACAAUUCGAUAUCUUAGAAAAACAAUUUUAUUCAUAAAACACAUAAAAAUUAGUCUCUUCGUUCGAAAAUACUUGUCCUAAAACGGAUGUAUCUAGGCUUAUUUUAGUUAUAG